rnacentral:rRNA from 1 species
GUGGGGAAUUUUGGACAAUGGGGGCAACCCUGAUCCAGCGACGCCGCGUGAAGGAUGAAGGUCUUCGGAUUGUAAACUUCUUUUGAUGGGGAUGAAUGCCCUGGUGAAUAGCCAGGGGUGACAGUACCCGUUGAAUAAGCCACGGCUAACUACGUGCCAGCAGCCGCGGUAAUACGUAGGUGGCAAGCGAUACUCGGAAUCACUAGGCGUAAAGCGCAGGUAGGCGGUUCGGUAAGUCUUUUGUGAAAGCUCCCGGCUCAACUGGGAGAGGCCAAGGGAAACUGCCGGACUAGAGUGUGGUAGGGGAUACUGGAAUUCCUGGUGUAGCGGUGAAAUGCGUAGAUAUCAGGAGGAAUACCUAUGGCGAAAGCAGGUAUCUGGGCCAUCACUGACGCUGAGCUGCGAAAGCUAGGGGAGCAAACAGGAUUAGAAACCCGUGUAGUCC